rnacentral:rRNA from 1 species
CAUGCAAGUCGCACGGGACCCGCAAGGGUUCAGUGGCGGACGGGUGCGUAACACGUGAGGAACAUGCCUAUCGGCGGGGGAUAGCCGGCCCAACGGCCGGGUAAUACCGCGUACGCUCACUGGGGGGCAUCCCCUGGUGAGGAAAGCAGCAAUGCACCGAUAGAGUGCCUCGCGGCCUAUCAGCUAGUUGGUGAGGUAAUGGCUCACCAAGGCAACGACGGGUAGCUGGUCUGAGAGGAUGAUCAGCCACAUUGGGACUGAGACACGGCCCAGACUCCUACGGGAGGCAGCAGUGGGGAAUCUUGCGCAAUGGCCGAAAGGCUGACGCAGCGACGCCGCGUGUGGGAUGACGGCCUUCGGGUUGUAAACCACUGUCGGAAGGGACGAAUGGCCCGCAAGGGCAGUGACGGUACCUUCAAAGGAAGCACCGGCUAACUCCGUGCCAGCAGCCGCGGUAAUACGGAGGGUGCGAGCGUUGUCCGGAAUCACUGGGCGUAAAGGGCGCGUAGGCGGCCCGGUAAGUAGGGGGUGAAAUCUUGCGGCUUAACCGCAAGGCUGCCUUCUAGACUGCCAGGCUCGAGCACAGUAGAGGCAGGUGGAAUUCCCGGUGUAGCGGUGGAAUGCGUAGAGAUCGGGAAGAACAUCAGUGGCGAAGGCGGUCUGCUGGACUGUAGCUGACGCUGAGGCGCGACAGCGUG